UACAAAGGGGGCUAGCGUUGCUCGGAAUCACUGGGCGUAAAGCGCACGUAGGCGGACUCUUAAGUCGGUGGUGAAAUCCUGGAGCUCAACUCCAGAACUGCCUUUGAUACUGAGGGUCUUGAGUCCGGGAGAGGUGAGUGGAACUGCGAGUGUAGAGGUGAAAUUCGUAGAUAUUCGCAAGAACACCAGUGGCGAAGGCGGCUCACUGGCCCGGUACUGACGCUGAGGCGCGAAAGCGUGGGGAGCAAACAGG
rnacentral:rRNA from 1 species